rnacentral:rRNA from 1 species
AUUGAACGCUGGCGGAAUGCUUUACACAUGCAAGUCGAACGGCAGCACGGGGCAACCUGGUGGCGAGUGGCGAACGGGUGAGUAAUACAUCGGAACGUGCCCAAUCGUGGGGGAUAACGUAGCGAAAGUUACGCUAAUACCGCAUACGAUCUACGGAUGAAAGCGGGGGAUCGCAAGACCUCGCGCGAAUGGAGCGGCCGAUGUCAGAUUAGGUAGUUGGUGGGGUAAAGGCUCACCAAGCCAACGAUCUGUAGCUGGUCUGAGAGGACGACCAGCCACACUGGAACUGAGACACGGUCCAGACUCCUACGGGAGGCAGCAGUGGGGAAUUUUGGACAAUGGGCGCAAGCCUGAUGCAGCGACGCCGCGUGCGGGAUGAAGGGGCUUAGCCUCGUAAACCGCUGUCGGAGGGGACGAAUGGUACAUUUGAUGUACUGAGACGGUACCCUCAAAGGAAGGAUCGGCUAACUACGUGCCAGCAGCCGCGGUAAU